rnacentral:SRP_RNA from 1 species
UGUCGGACCCUGUGCGAUGGGGCGUCAUGAACCAUGUCAGGCGGGGAACCGAGCAGCAUUAAGUGAAUUUCCCUAUGCGCCGCAGCAAGCCUGAUGUCC